rnacentral:rRNA from 1 species
CCUACGGGAGGCAGCAGUGGGGAAUAUUGGACAAUGGGGGGAACCCUGAUCCAGCCAUGCCGCGUGUGUGAAGAAGGCCUUUUGGUUGUAAAGCACUUUAAAGCGAGGAGGAGGCUCCCUAGACUAAUACUCUAGGAGAGUGGACGUUACUCGCAGAAUAAGCACCGGCUAACUCUGUGCCAGCAGCCGCGGUAAUACAGAGGGUGCAAGCGUUAAUCGGAUUUACUGGGCGUAAAGGGUACGUAGGUGGUCUUUUAAGUCGGAUGUGAAAUCCCUGAGCUUAACUUAGGAAUUGCAUUCGAUACUGAGAGACUAGAGUAUGGGAGAGGAUGGUAGAAUUCCAGGUGUAGCGGUGAAAUGCGUAGAGAUCUGGAGGAAUACCGAUGGCGAAGGCAGCCAUCUGGCCUAAUACUGACACUGAGGUACGAAAGCANGGAGACAACAGAUAGAUACCUACGUAGUACAUGCGUAACGAUAGUCUACUAGUCGUGGGUUCGUUGUAGUAGUUAGUUGGUCGCGAGCACGACGAGUAAGUAAGACCGCCGCGGGAGGUACGGUCGGCGAGAACGUAAACGUAACGAAAGAAAGUUAGUACGGACGUGAGACGAGCGACGGACGACGACGAGGGAGGAGG